UAACCCGAAAGCCCUUCGUCCCUUCGUGGUUUCGUCCGAAAAAAAACUCAUCGCGCCUCCGAUCUCUACCCUCGAGCUCAUCUCUGAUCUCUCUCCUCAAGCUCAUCUCCGAUCUCUACCCUCGAACUCAUCUCCGAUCUCUCUCCUCAAGCUCGAGCCCCACUUUUGAUCUCCUCUCGCCUGAAGCUCGAGAUUCAUCUUGGAUCUCCUCUCUCCUCAGGGCCUGUGCUCCUCUCCCCUCGAGCGCAAGCGCCACAUUCGACUUCCUCUCAAGUACUCAAGGAUCAGAUCAGAACCCCUAGAUAGUGCCAGUUUUUGGAAAAAAAAUAAAAUGCAUGUUCACCAUGUUCCAUCCUGAGCUUGCUUUGAUGGGAUCUUGUGUUCUUGCCGUUCAAACGAAAGGGGAAGAUGUUUACAUAAUGAAUGUCAGAGACAGUCAAGCUGUUUUAGGGAAGAAAUCAGAGAUAAAGGAUUUGCAGAGGAUUAGUGAAGAUGGUGAGGGUUUCAGAGCUUCGUCCACUUUGGAUGCGAUUCAGUUGACGUUGGAUCACAGUACAGGUGUUGAGGAGUUCGGAGGAUUAAAAGAGAGCAUCCUGAGGAUGCUUGUGCGGUGAUGAAUGAUCGAGUGAAGGGUUCUUUGAAGGUGACCAGAGCUUUUGGUGCUGGAUUCUUGAAACAGCACGAGAAGCAGGGCAGAGGAGAUCUAUAGCGCAUUGCAUCAUGAAUGUCACAUAAUUAGAUAUUAGAAUCCUUUUUUUUAGGGAAGAAAAGACGGUAGUUGCUGAAGUGGAGUCGUUCAUUGCCACAAUGCCUGAAGGUGAUCCUGCGCAGCACCUCGUUGAGGAAUUUAUCUUUCGUGCAGCGAGAAAAGCUGGUAACUACAUCUUCUCUCUAUGUAUGCUCGUUCAUUGCCACCUUUGUAUCAUAAGCUUUUGAGGGAACUUUUGCUUCCAUGUUUGUUGAGGUGAUGGAGGUUGUAAAGGUAGAAAAUUAAGCAGUUAUAGUAGAAAGGGGGAAAAUGUAAUUUUCUAAUAAAUUUGUUUUCUAUUCAAGUUAAAUAUCUCAAAGUGAUGAGACCCAUUAGUCUCCAUGUUUGUUGAGGUGAUGGAGGUUGUAAAGGUAGAAAAUUAAGCAGUUAUACUAUGAAGUCUCCUUGGCUUAAUAUAAACUUCGAUUACUUGAAUAAUCGAUUACUUGAAUAAUCAAAUCUAUAAAGUUGGUAUGGUUUGAUAUAUUUGUAAGUAAAGCUCUUUCUUUGAUUGUUUUAAUAUGUUUCCUUGGACAGGAGUGAUCGCAUUUGUUUUUCAAGGUCAAAUCGGCAUUUUGGUAUCUGUUCGAUUACUUGUGAUUGCGGCUGUUCUUUUUUGGUUGUUAACAUGUUGAAUGUGAUGCUGUUAUUAUUGGCUCAGGCUAUGGUGGCGGAGUUGCAGCUUCUAUCCUUUCGAGCUCAGGCUACAAGAAAACCCAUUUGCAACUUUUAAAGGCCUUUAAUGUAUAAUUAAUGCAUAAAGAGAGGGCUUUCUUCGAAUGAUUUUUGUUAUAUGAUGUGUAAAUGUAUACAUGGCUAUGUUCAUGUAGCCUACAGGAUGUAUGUGUGCUCUAUCUUAGAUAUAGAUGUUGUGUUUGAUGAAUUUUGGAACUUGGGUUGUUUUUAUUUUGGAGAAUUUUCAAGAGUUAAAAACAAAUCUGUCUUUAUAGUUUUACAUGAUGAGAUUAUAUUCUUGGUGGAAGCUGCU